rnacentral:rRNA from 1 species
GGGUAGAGCACUGUUUCGGCAAGGGGGUCAUCCCGACUUACCAACCCGAUGCAAACUGCGAAUACCGGAGAAUGUUAUCACGGGAGACACACGGCGGGUGCUAACGUCCGUCGUGAAGAGGGAAACAACCCAGACCGCCAGCUAAGGUCCCAAAGUCAUGGUUAAGUGGGAAACGAUGUGGGAAGGCCCAGACAGCCAGGAUGUUGGCUUAGAAGCAGCCAUCAUUUAAAGAAAGCGUAAUAGCUCACUGGUCGAGUCGGCCUGCGCGGAAGAUGUAACGGGGCUAAACCAUGCACCGAAGCUGCGGCAGCGACACUGUGUGUUGUUGGGUAGGGGAGCGUUCUGUAAGCCUGUGAAGGUGUACUGUGAGGUAUGCUGGAGGUAUCAGAAGUGCGAAUGCUGACAUAAGUAACGAUAAAGCGGGUGAAAAGCCCGCUCGCCGGAAGACCAAGGGUUCCUGUCCAACGUUAAUCGGGGCAGGGUGAGUCGACCCCUAAGGCGAGGCCGAAAGGCGUAGUCGAUGGGAAACAGGUUAAUAUUCCUGUACUUGGUGUUACUGCGAAGGGGGGACGGAGAAGGCUAUGUUGGCCGGGCGACGGUUGUCCCGGUUUAAGCGUGUAGGCUGGUUUUCCAGGCAAAUCCGGAAAAUCAAGGCUGAGGCGUGAUGACGAGGCACUACGGUGCUGAAGCAACAAAUGCCCUGCUUCCAGGAAAAGCCUCUAAGCAUCAGGUAACAUCAAAUCGUACCCCAAACCGACACAGGUGGUCAGGUAGAGAAUACCAAGGCGCUUGAGAGAACUCGGGUGAAGGAACUAGGCAAAAUGGUGCCGUAACUUCGGGAGAAGGCACGCUGAUAUGUAGGUGAAGCGACUUGCUCGUGGAGCUGAAAUCAGUCGAAGAUACCAGCUGGCUGCAACUGUUUAUUAAAAACACAGCACUGUGCAAACACGAAAGUGGACGUAUACGGUGUGACGCCUGCCCGGUGCCGGAAGGUUAAUUGAUGGGGUUAGCGCAAGCGAAGCUCUUGAUCGAAGCCCCGGUAAACGGCGGCCGUAACUAUAACGGUCCUAAGGUAGCGAAAUUCCUUGUCGGGUAAGUUCCGACCUGCACGAAUGGCGUAAUGAUGGCCAGGCUGUCUCCACCCGAGACUCAGUGAAAUUGAACUCGCUGUGAAGAUGCAGUGUACCCGCGGCAAGACGGAAAGACCCCGUGAACCUUUACUAUAGCUUGACACUGAACAUUGAGCCUUGAUGUGUAGGAUAGGUGGGAGGCUUUGAAGUGUGGACGCCAGUCUGCAUGGAGCCGACCUUGAAAUACCACCCUUUAAUGUUUGAUGUUCUAACGUGGACCCGUGAUCCGGGUUGCGGACAGUGUCUGGUGGGUAGUUUGACUGGGGCGGUCUCCUCCUAAAGAGUAACGGAGGAGCACGAAGGUUGGCUAAUCCUGGUCGGACAUCAGGAGGUUAGUGCAAUGGCAUAAGCCAGCUUGACUGCGAGCGUGACGGCGCGAGCAGGUGCGAAAGCAGGUCAUAGUGAUCCGGUGGUUCUGAAUGGAAGGGCCAUCGCUCAACGGAUAAAAGGUACUCCGGGGAUAACAGGCUGAUACCGCCCAAGAGUUCAUAUCGACGGCGGUGUUUGGCACCUCGAUGUCGGCUCAUCACAUCCUGGGGCUGAAGUAGGUCCCAAGGGUAUGGCUGUUCGCCAUUUAAAGUGGUACGCGAGCUGGGUUUAGAACGUCGUGAGACAGUUCGGUCCCUAUCUGCCGUGGGCGCUGGAGAACUGAGGGGGGCUGCUCCUAGUACGAGAGGACCGGAGUGGACGCAUCACUGGUGUUCGGGUUGUCAUGCCAAUGGCACUGCCCGGUAGCUAAAUGCGGAAGAGAUAAGUGCUGAAAGCAUCUAAGCACGAAACUUGCCCCGAGAUGAGUUCUCCCUGACCCUUUAAGGGUCCUGAAGGAACGUUGAAGACGACGACGUUGAUAGGCCGGGUGUGUAAGCGCAGCGAUGCGUUGAGCUAACCGGUACUAAUGAACCGUGAGG